GAUAAAAAAAAUAUUAUUAAUUAAUUUAAAUAUAAAAAAUGUUAAUAAAAAAAAUUUUUAUUUUAUUAUAUAAUUUAGAAAAAUUAAUUUUAAUUAUAGUUUAUUAGUAUUGUGAAAGAAAUAGUUAAUUUAUUUAAAAGAAAAAUUAAAAUUUUGUACCUUGUGUAUCAGGGUUUAUUAAUUAAUAUUAAAAUAUUUUAUAUUCUCGAAUUUAAAAGAGUUAAUUAAAUAUUUAUUUUAAUGUAAAAUAAUUAUUUAUAAUAUUUAAUUAGUAAUGAAAUGUUAUUCGUUUUUAAAUAUAUCUAGUUUUUAAAGAAAAAAAUUUAAUUUUAUUUUUAAUAUAAAAAAAAUUUUUUAAAAAAUUUUUUUUUAUCAAAAGUAAAUUUUUAAAGGGAUAAGCUUUUAAAAAUAAUAUUAUAAUUUAUUAAAAUAUAAAAUAAUUUAUAGGAUUAAAAAUUUUUAUAUAUAAAAGUUUGUUAUAAUUUAUUAUUAAAUAAAUAAUAUUUUUAUUAAAUUUAAUUAUUUUAUUUAAAUAAAUUUUUUAAUUUUUAAAAAAUAGUAAUGAUGAUAAAAUUAGUAUAUAUUAUUUUUAGAAUAUUUAUUAUAAAUAAAAGGUAAAUUUAAGGAACUCGGCAAAUUUUUUAUUUACCUGUUUAUUAAAAACAUGUCCUUUUGAUAAUAAUUUAAGGUCUAAUCUGCCCACUGAAAUUUUUAAAUGGCCGCAGUAUUUUGACUGUGCUAAGGUAGCAUAAUAAUUAGUUUUUUAAUUGAAAGCUGGUAUGAAUGAUUGGAUAAGAUAAAAACUGUCUCAAAUUUAAUUUAUUAGAAUUUUAUUUUUAAGUUAAAAAGCUUAAAUAUUUUUAAAAGACGAGAAGACCCUAUAGAGUUUAAUAUUAUUUUAUAAAUUUUAUUUAUUAUAUAAAAAAUAUAUUUAAAACAAUAAUAUUUUGUUGGGGUGACAAAAAAAUUUAAUUAACUUUUUUUUAAUAAAAACAAUUAUAAUUGAAUAAUUGAUCCAUUUUUUAUGAUUAUAAGAUUAAAUUACCUUAGGGAUAACAGCGUAAUUUUUUUUUAGAGUUCAAAUCGAAAAAAAAGAUUGCGACCUCGAUGUUGGAUUAAAGUUAAUUU
rnacentral:rRNA from 1 species